AUGUCAUAUCUCUUAGUUUCAAUUUUGAUGGCGUACCCUCUUCAAAGCUCCAAAGCAUGUUUGUGGCCCAUACUUUGUCGUGUAGUUACGUCCAUGGGCAAGAAAGUAUUUGUUAUUGGUGUGCAUUAUGGUGUUGAAAAACCAGCAGAUUUGGGGGCAUAUUUAAAGCAGUUUAUUGCUGAGUUGAAGGAAUUGAUAACGAAUGGGAUCAAACUGAACGGAAAAUUUUACUCUGUUAAUAUUGAUCAUUUUUGUUGCGAUGCACCAGCUAAAAGUUGGGUCUUACGGAUCAUAGGUCAUGGAGGUUAUUCAUCUUGUACAUGUUGCACUCAGCGGGGUGCAAAACAGAAAAAAACUCCCACUCAAAAAGCAAGUGCAGUAUAUUUCCCUUAUAAACCAAGUAAAAUGAUUGAGAGAACAGCCAAUGAUUUUAAUACACAAACUUACGUAAAUUUUCAUCAUGGAAUAACUCCACUCACUGAGCUACCGGUAGAAAAUAUUUUAGAAUUAUUUCCUUAUGACCCCAUGCAUCUCGUCUACGGUGGAGUAGUGAAAACCAUCAUGGUGGCUUGGUACAAAGGUAAAAAGCCCUACAAACUAUCGCCCUCUUUAAUUAAAUUGAUGUCUGUUCGAAUGAUAGCAUCAAGGAAGACUGUUUCAGCCUCUGACUUUCCGAGAAGGCCAAGGCCUCUCAGUGAUGUACACCAUAUGAAGGCAACUGAAUUUAAACUCUUCGGGAACUAUCUGGGUUUAGUUAUUCCGAAAGGAAUUCUGAGUGAGGAUCGGUACCUCCAUUUUUUGAAUCUGUGUGUUGGCAUUCGAAUUUUAUCCAUGCCGCCACAUCUUCACCAACCACUGCUAGAUUUGGCUGAGAAACUCCUCCAUAAUUUUGUGCGACACUGUGGAAAAUUUUAUAGAAAGACAAUUCUAACUUACAACUUUCAUGGACUUCUUCAUUUGGUUAAGUUUGUACGAAAGCAUGGCAGCCUAGACAAAUUUUCUGCCAAUGACUUUGAAAAUUAUUUAGGUCUGUUAUUGGGCAAGGUUCGCUCGGGGAACUGUGUUCUGGAGCAGCUCAACAACCGCUUGGCAGAGGAAGAAGCUUUUGAGGAAACAGAAAUGGUUUGUCAAGAGUCGUAUCCAAUUUUCACACACCCUCAUCAUAGUCAGUACUUGCCAUACCAUUGUUCUGAGCCGCAGUUUCAGACAGUUGUAUUUUCUGAUUACAAAAUCAGUACCAAAACAAUAGGUGAUUCAUGUUGCACGGUAACUGGUGGUAAAAUAAUUAUCGUCACAAAUAUUUGCAAGCUAAAAGUGUCAGAUGAGAUGGUUUUGGUAGGGAAAGAGUUUCUGGGGAAGGCGGAUUUCUUUACAGAACCUUGCAAAAGCUCAGAUAUCGGUGUUUUUUUAGUUAGCAAAGCGAGAAUGUCUCGAGAAAAAACAUGGCCGAUCUCAUCAAUCGAACACAAAAAUGUUGUUCUUCAAGUGAAAGAAGAACUAGUUGUCCUCUCACUUCUGCAUACCAUGGAAAAAAAAAGAGUAUAG
rnacentral:lncRNA from 1 species